GUCGUUUUAACGUGCGACGCCUGUACGUCGAACGCAUGUAGACCAAGCUUGCUUGGUGGAUCAGUGGCGAACGGGUGAGUAACACGUGAGCAACCUGCCCUGGACUCUGGGAUAAGCGCUGGAAACGGUGUCUAAUACUGGAUAUGAGGCGUGAUCGCAUGGUCAUGUUUGGAAAGAUUUUUCGGUCUGGGAUGGGCUCGCGGCCUAUCAGCUUGUUGGUGAGGUAAUGGCUCACCAAGGCGUCGACGGGUAGCCGGCCUGAGAGGGUGACCGGCCACACUGGGACUGAGACACGGCCCAGACUCCUACGGGAGGCAGCAGUGGGGAAUAUUGCACAAUGGGCGCAAGCCUGAUGCAGCAACGCCGCGUGAGGGAUGACGGCCUUCGGGUUGUAAACCUCUUUUAGCAGGGAAGAAGCGUGAGUGACGGUACCUGCAGAAAAAGCGCCGGCUAACUACGUGCCAGCAGCCGCGGUAAUACGUAGGGCGCAAGCGUUAUCCGGAAUUAUUGGGCGUAAAGAGCUCGUAGGCGGUUUGUCGCGUCUGCUGUGAAAUCCCGAGGCUCAACCUCGGGCCUGCAGUGGGUACGGGCAGACUAGAGUGCGGUAGGGGAGAUUGGAAUUCCUGGUGUAGCGGUGGAAUGCGCAGAUAUCAGGAGGAACACCGAUGGCGAAGGCAGAUCUCUGGGCCGUAACUGACGCUGAGGAGCGAAAGGGUGGGGAGCAAACAGGCUUAGAUACCCUGGUAGUCCACCCCGUAAACGUUGGGAACUAGUUGUGGGGACCAUUCCACGGUUUCCGU
rnacentral:rRNA from 1 species